GGUCGCUGCCGCGCUGCAGCCGCCUGCGCCCCCGCCACGGGCGGGUUCCCCUCGGCUCAGGCCCAAGCUCUCCCUCAGCGCUGCCAGCCGUCGGCCCCGGCGGAGCCGGCGUCCACAGACAGCCGUGAUUAUGCUUCCUGACCACCGGGGCGCCCGCCUGGGAUAAGUGCAGUGUUUUAAAUGAUGCCCUUGAGCUGCCUAUAAACUGCCUACAAAUGACAGCUGGAGUGAAAAAUGACCUGUUUUGGGAUGAGAAUCUGUUGCAAGAGGAACAUACAGUUUGCAGAAUGACGCACAAGGAGUUUUUUGGUACCUGUUGAAAACCUGUGCUCUAUAAAUGGAACAACAAAGCCUGGAUGACAGCACAUCUGUUUACAACAUAGUUUACUGAAUAUUCGAAGCCCACUGUUGAGAUCUAUGGC